rnacentral:lncRNA from 1 species
AAAUACGUGAAGCAAAAAUUUGAAGCUACAAAUAAUAUGCAUAAUUAAAAAUUUAUUUAAACGUUUGCUGAUUCUUUUCUUUUCCUUUCUUUUCAUUUGUGUAUACUGAUUUUGUGUCAAACACUAAUACACAAUGUACGUGAUUUUUGUUUACAUUUGCUACAUACGCAAAUGAGAUAAUCUAAUGUACAUGUUACCAACAUUUCAAUACAACAUGCUACAUGUAGUAUAUGCUACGUAUACAAGUCCAAGUUUUAUGUGCGAUGGAUAAAUUAACACAAAUGAUACAUUUAGCCAGGUAUAGACAAUUGAAGACCAAAGAAAAAAUGAGAAUAUACAAUAUAAAUUUCAUGGGCAUAACAUAU